ensembl:lncRNA
UGUGACAGAGCCGCAGCGAUGACCUAGAGCCUCUUCCCUCCAACCACCUAAACCACAUUCUGACACAGAGACAGCAGAGAAGUGGGAGUGCUGUCGCUUGCGGCGGGCAGGAGACCAGCGAUCUGCCACGCCAAACCGGGCACCUCCACCAGAGCACCCGAGGGGUCGGGUGAGUCAAAGGUCCCGUCACGGCGGCCCGCAGGAACAUCCCUGACUUCCUGUUUCUGGAGGUGGUGGGGCGGCAGGAGGUGGACUGGAGGAGCGGUGAGACGGCUGCACACACAUUUACUGUGAGAAUGUCCGGGGGGAGUGCGGAGCAGACAGCCAGGCGAAGACCACUGUCACGUAGCCAACUUUCACCAUCUAUGAGAGGGAGAGACCUUCCCGUCCACCACGGCCCACGCAAUAUUUGCCAGUAAAUUACUGACGCAGCAGAAGCAUGUAUGUGUGAGUGUCACACCACCAUGGACUCUGUUUGUGUUUCCCGCUCCUUGUUGGUUGUCAAGAUUGUUAAUUUGAUUUCAUCAUUAUGUUCCGGUGUGUGUCUCAUUAUCGUGUGUAUUUAAGUUCAGUUCUGUGUUGCUCUUAUUGUCCGGUGUCGUCAGUUUUUAGAUGUGUUGUAGCUG